rnacentral:tRNA from 2 species
GGGCGAUUAGCUCAGCUGGGAGAGCACCUCCCUUACAAGGAGGGGGUCGGCGGUUCGAUCCCGUCAUCACCCACCA